AGAGAGAGCUCUUAAGCAGGAAUCUAAGGUUCGCAUAUAAUAAGGAAGAGGUGAUUUCUAUGGUGAAGAACUGGAAGUUUUUUUCACCAAUGUGCUGAUGAAGAAAAUGGUAACACCUGAAGAUAUAGAAGGCAGAACAAGGAACUCCUACAUGCUUCAGCUACAGCUUGUACUAAGAAAGUGCUCACAAAUCUGGCAAAAGAUGACAGUUCCAGGGCCAUCCAGACUCUGGAAGUACAAAAUCGGGUUAUGAGAAGAACAAUCUUCCAUGUAACUUUGGACUGAAAUACUGUGAGCCUUGCAUGUGAUCGCACAUAAACCCAUCCAGGCAAGCCCCAGUCUGCGGGUCAUGCUUAACAACAGCCCUGGAUCUGGAGUAGAGUGGUGUGUGCACCAUGUAGCUGAGCAAAGUCCCUGCAGCCCUAUUCUUCUGAAUGAUGAGACUGACUCAAUUAAAGCUAGCUGUUGUGGAUCCAAGGGUCCUGCAGUCAGAGCUGUAUUUAUGACUUAAAGCUUAAGAAAAUAAGAUCACAGCAAAUCUAGCUUGAGACAGUAGCAAUCUGCAUUGAGAAACAACCUUUUACAUAAUGUCUUAUUUGUCAUUCUAGCUGUAUCAUAUAGCAUGCAGAUUUACAGUCAGGUAUUUCUGUAGAAAUGAUAUAUAUAUGAUAUAUGCCAUUUACUUCUGUUUUGUCUUGCAUAUACUAUAGUACUGGUGCUAAUUUGUGAUGAUUGGUUUUGUUUAUGGUUUAAUAUUCAUUGUAACUGUUCUCAAAAUACUGUGAGACCGAGUGUUGUUUAACGUUCACGUAAGCAACCCAGCUCUGAGGUAUAUGGUUUGUAUCUGUGUUGCUCUGACCAGAGCUGCUUUUUGCUUUCUGUGGUGUCAGUGAACUGUUGGAUGCAGGUGCAGGUUGGUGUUGAAUUUU
ensembl:lncRNA